rnacentral:miRNA from 1 species
AGGCACGGUGGCAGCAGGC